AUUGGAUCCCUGAUACCCCUGAUAGCAUUCCUGCAAACGCGUCACACCGUGUCGGCGUUGGUGCUUUUGUUGUCAAUAACAAGAGAGAGGUGCUUGUGGUUCAGGAAACCAGUGGUAGAUUUGGAGGCACAGGUGUAUGGAAGAUGCCUACAGGAGCUGUGAAUGAAGUAUACGUCGAAAUGAUUAUUGAUCAAAUUAUGAAAAUGGAAAUUCAAUCUUUUGAGUUUUGACAUGUUUUAAUUCUAUUUGCAGGGUGAAGAUAUUUGUGAUGCUGUAAUUAGAGAAGUGAAGGAAGAGACAGGGGUUGAAACAAAGGCACAUAUGGUACUUGUUGCAUUCUCAAGUUCGUUAAACAGUCAGGACAGCUGCUCCUUUGCAGGAACUGGCAUCCAAACAUGUGAU